GCGAGGGGAGUGAAAAAGAACCUGAAACCGUGUACGUACAAGCAGUGGGAGCACAGGUUUACCUGUGUGACUGCGUACCUUUUGUAUAAUGGGUCAGCGACUUAUAUUCUGUAGCAAGGUUAACCGAAUAGGGGAGCCGGAGGGAAACCGAGUCUUAACCGGGCGUUAAGUUGCAGGGUAUAGACCCGAAACCCGGUGAUCUAGCCAUGGGCAGGUUGAAGGUUGGGUAACACUAACUGGAGGACCGAACCGACUAAUGUUGAAAAAUUAGCGGAUGACCUGUGGCUGGGGGUGAAAGGCCAAUCAAACCGGGAGAUAGCUGGUUCUCCCCGAAAGCUAUUUAGGUAGCGCCUCGUGAAUUCAUCUCCGGGGGUAGAGCACUGUUUCGGCUAGGGGGCCAUCCCGGCUUACCAACCCGAUGCAAACUGCGAAUACCGGAGAAUGUUAUCACGGGAGACACACGGCGGGUGCUAACGUCCGUCGUGAAGAGGGAAACAACCCAGACCGCCAGCUAAGGUCCCAAAGUCAUGGUUAAGUGGGAAACGAUGUGGGAAGGCCCAGACAGCCAGGAUGUUGGCUUAGAAGCAGCCAUCAUUUAAAGAAAGCGUAAUAGCUCACUGGUCGAGUCGGCCUGCGCGGAAGAUGUAACGGGGCUAAACCAU
rnacentral:rRNA from 1 species